AAAGACAGGCAGUAGUAGAAACCUGAUAUCACAAAUGAUAAUAUCCUUUAUAGGUACAAAUUGCUUCCAUGUUUAUGGCUGAAACAUGUGUACAUCAGAAACUUUAACUACAAUAUGGUAGAUAUCUACAGGACCAAGCAAGAAAUCAGAAAUAGAACAGCGGGCGUCUUAAGUAAAGCAAGCACCACCCGAUUACAUAUAAGUUUGUAUUCAUCCUCAGCACUGUCCAGGCUGAAGAGGGUACAUAGGGUCACAUACAGUCUGCAACAUCUGCUUGUCCUUCGAUAGCAUAACAACAUUAACUAAACACGUGGGUCAAACACAUAAAUAAACAUAUGCCGGACAAUAGGGCGCAAUAGAAUCGGAGCUAGCAGAGACACAGGAAACUGCGUUAGAACAUCCGAAGAGACACUCCCAUAGCCAGACAUCAUUACUUCGUGCAUCCACAAACAAAAGGAUAGGGUCCUGGAUAUAUAUAGAUUUGCAAGCGCAGAUUAGCAGGAUGCCCAUCAAAGGAGUCAUUUCUGAUGCAUAGUAAGGUUCAUGAUAUUCAAAACAGUAAUAAUGGUAGACUUUGCAUAACAUGACAACACAUCAUAUCUCAUAAUUAGAAUACAUUAUAUUACUGAAAACAGAAACUGAGGUGACCAAUUGGAAUAAUCCCAUUUUGGUGACCACAUUCCAUAGUUUAAAUUCAAAAAUUAGGCUUCUCCCUAAAGCAUACACUCAGAUAGGGGGCAUUUAAAAAGAAUCUGGAUGAAACACACAGGCAUACCUUCGAUAUUUCAUUGCACAUCUCAAUGGAGACAUUAUUAUCUUAUGGACCUCGUUAAAAUCGAUGACCUUAUUAGUUGCAACUAUAAUUAUAUGAAACAGGUACCUGCAACGAAAAAUGACAAACCAUGAUGGAUCAUAAAUGAAUUAAGCAGCUGGUUGCAGCACAACAUGCCCAACUUCUCACCUCUGUCUUUUUUAUUUUUCUUCAUUUAUCAAUACACAUAGUGACACACCAACGCCUUGACUAUGCUCUAGCUAUCACAGUGGUUUACAAAUUCCGGAUUCGUAUUCAAACAAAUGAACUAUAUAAUGA
rnacentral:lncRNA from 1 species